rnacentral:rRNA from 1 species
CGCGGGGUUGAAAGAUGCUAGUUCUUUCAUGAUUAUGUGAUAGGUGGUGCAUGGCCGUUCUUAGUUCGUGGAGUGAUCUGUCUGCUUAAUUGCGUAUCAAUAAUAGAGACCUAGUAUACGCGUAGACUCAUGCGGUAGUGACCCCCCUUCACAGGGCGCGUGUCGCACGUAUGUUAUACGCACAGGUCUCCGAUAGCAACGAACGUGACCGUACUCUAUUGUUGCAGCGACAAUACCUUUCAACGGGUAUUACCGCUGCUUAGCAAGAUUCGUCUUGCAUUAAACUAUAGAGACCGCUGUUUCUUCUUUAAACCAGAGGAAGGAUACGGCAAUAACAGGUCUGUGAUGCCCUCAGAUGUUCCGGGCUGCACACGUGCUACAAUGAUCAUUGCACUGUGCAUCUAACCCAAUGUGCGCGGACGCCGCCGUGCGUAUAUACUUUAUUGUGUAUGCGUAUCGUGCGUGCGACCGCGCCGAACCUGCUUCGAAAGUAAACAUUUCCAGCGGGUAAUCCAUUAGAAGUAAUGACUCGCAUAGACCAUGGCACACUAUAUGUACCCGCGGGUUCUACCCGGCUCGCCUUUGUGUGAGUGCAGUGCGUAGCUCGUUGUUUGGUACGUGCCACUCCGUAUUAAUUCAUACGUGGGGAUAGAUCAUUGUUUAAUUGUUGGUCUCGGUCUUAACUAGGAAUGCCUUGUACGGGUCUUUGGUUCAACAUACCACCCGGAAUACGUCCCUGCCCUUUGUACACACCGCCCGUCGCUCUUACCGAUGGAUUAUACUAUGA